CUAGGAAAGCACUGUGGAAUUCAGAGUGAGGAGGGACUGGAGGGAGCUGGGUCUCCAUUCUGCAUUUACUGGGGCCUCACGGAGUGCAGACUCGGUAUUCCAUCGGGCAGUUCUCGGUAAUCUGGUAACACGUGUCCGAUGCCAGUUCCAGUUCUCUGGUUGAAUCUGAUAGGUACAGAUCCCAAACCCAUGUUGGACAUGGUGUGGGCAGGAUAACCUGGCAGGCCUGGGAGUCAAAUGAAGAGAGGAGCUGAGGGCUGCUGCAAAAGUCUCAGGAUGGCUGACUUGUCUCCUUCUGAAGUUUCUAGACUUGACUCUGACACAAAGGCCUUUGGGAGAACAGACUCAAGGGACAAGGGGUGAUGCUUCGCUUCCCUCAUUGGAGCCCCUUUCAGAGGGGAAAACUCACAGGCAGGAACCUGCGUGCCAGCCCUGACCCAGAGCAACAGUGAACAGUCCCCGCUGUGUUCCACAGCGCUCAUCCAGAAACACUGCGGGGUUUCCAUCACAUUCUGCAGUCCACAGGAAACCUGGAAGCUGAGUCUUUUUCUUCUGUGAUCUCUGCCUCCCCUGCUGGCCUGUGCUCUAUGGGAGCUCAUUAGCUGAACCCCAGGACCAAGGACAAGCAAGCAGGGCUGAAUAGAGACUUUAUGAACAGCUGCUACUCCGUGGUGUUGUCUCCUUGUGAAGAAAGGGGUGAGCCUGGAAGUAGAAAGCAGGGGAUUUGGUUUUGUUAUUGCGUAAUCUUCCUGGAAGGCGGGCGAGGGGGGUGGUAAGAAGAGCAUUUGUCACUUGAACUGUCUGCUUGGGACAGUAUUCCCUGACCCCUUUCCAGGACUUCCAUAACUUGGCACUGAGUUGGCCCUUAAGUUGGCAAACAAACCUUGGCACUGAGCAACACUUAAGAGGUAGAAAGAAUGUUUUCAUGCCUUCAGCAGCUCCAGCAGACUCUGAAGGCUGAGCGGUAGCAGUUCUAUCGCCUGCCAUCCAGCCCCAGAGUAGAAGGGUCCGGCAUCUCCAGCCAGGUAGCCUGUAUGUCAGGCUCACAUAGGCUAUGUAUGGCAUCUCCAUCUCGGGAGAACAAGCGUUGAUGCUUCAGUUCUGGCCUCGUCAUUACCAAUGUCCUUCAAUGGUCCCUCUUUACUCUGAGGGGAGCAGAAAAGGGGGUCUCAUUUGGAUGCCAUGAGAUAAGCUAAUUUCUAGAACCUUCUCUAUCUUCUGUCAGUUCUAGUUUGGAUUAGCGAUUAGCUGUCAGAACCAGACAGACAACUCUACUCAGACAAGUACCAGAUGGGGAGCGCUGAGUCCUCGGGUGCCGAAGGGACCUCAGAUGAUUCCUACAGGGCCUGUGCUUUCUUCCCCUGCUUAGAGAACAGCACAUAGGUCCUUAGCGGCUUGCACAUAAACAUAAAUGAAAGAUCUUUAGCCCCAUAAGAAAGAAAAAAUAAACAAAAAACCCUGAGCAGCCUGGUUUGGGAUAAAAACAUGCAGUGUACAUGAUUUUUGUAAAAAUUAACUUUGGCCAGAGCACUUGGGAAGCAAGCAGCAUCUAAGCUGAGACAGGCAGUCAUGCCUGAAAACCUGUCUAGUUGACAAGCAUAUGCAAAUGAGGAAAGAGGGAGGCCUCCCUGGUCCUAGUCAGCAGGCUAGGCUGACGGCCAUGACAGGCUUCAAACUGACAGUUAAGGAGACUAGGCCUAAACCUCUGUUUCCAAGACCUGGGAAAUUCUUGGCGAGUCCAGGCCUGCCUCAGAAGGUGCCCCACCACCUGGCCUGAGGCAAGGACAAUGGAUGAGUCAGCUGCAGUUUCCAGAUCGACUCCCCCUAGCAAGUUUCCAGCCCCUCACACCUCAGUAAUGGAAUGUCUAUAGAGAUGGACCCAACAGAUUAACGUAGAGGUCACCUACCCCAGAAUUCCCUAAUGUGCUUUAAAUCAGGCCUGUAAGCUCACUUGGUUGACUCUCUCUGUUCUGGUAAUGGGAGAGCCCAGCAUGCUGGACUACAGAAUAAAACACUCUUUGUGUCUAUAUACUAUUCAAGUCCGGGCUUUCGUUCUUUGUGGAAAUAUGGACCCUUACAGUAGGAAGGAGGUAGCCUAGCAUGGUGUGAGGUACUGGGACAGAGCAAAGAGUCUUCCAGAGAAGAGGGUGAGAAGAGACUCUUGGCUCCAUGAAAAAGCUAAAGCCAGCAAGAACAUAAGGCGGGAACUUGAACAGUGUCAGAGCUGUGAGCUGAUCUGUGGGGUUUCUGCCCCUGGCUAGUGACGUAGCCCGGAGGAGUCCUUGCCACCCAUGCCUUCGGGUAGAGGAGGAGUAGGAUUUGCAGAGCGUUCAGAGCUUCAUCCUGGUACCAAGGCCCUUACCCACAGCUUUGCGGUGCUUGUCAUUAUGUACCCACAGUAAACCACAAUCCAAAAGUAUCAAAUGGGAAACUCUAAAAAUAAAUAACUCAAGAACUUGACAUUGCGGCCUCUGUCAGGAACUCUGCUCCCAUCAGCUCCCUCUGACUCCCGGAUGGGAAUUAUUCCCUCGUGCAGUAUAACCUCACCCUGCCCAUCAGCGCUUACUUCGUUCCCAGCCGUUUCAGCUCUCAGGCCUACUGUGGGGUUACAGUAAUCUAGAUCCACAUUAUGUUUAUGUUGUUGAUCUUGAGUUGUGCUUAAUUUUACUUAUUAAACUUAUUCUUACUAUGGGUAUCCAUAGGAAAACACAUAGUAUGUAUACAGUGUGGUUCUUUUUUUGUUUCUGCCAUCUUCUGGGGGUUCUUAAAUCCCCCAUGAAUAAGAGAGUAUAUCCACUUGGGGGUAUAGUAGUGCACACCUUUAAUCCCAGCAGUGGGAAGCAGAGGCAAGUGGGUCUCUAUGAGUUUGAGGACGGCUUGGUUGACAGAGUGAGUUCUAGGUCAGCCAGAGCUACAUACUUAAAUUCUAUCUCAAAAAACAAAACAAAACAAAAAACAAAAAACAAAAUCUCAUUCUGUUCAUCAGAUUUCUUUUCUGACGGCCGUGUAGUUUGCACGUUAGCAAGAGGCCACACUGACUAUACUUGUCUCACACUUUGGCUGUUCCCAGGAAUAUUUAGCAAAGGGAAAUGAGGGUAGAAAGCAACAUAACCUGCCUUGCAGAAGGUUGUGCUUCUGGGCAGGAUGAUGAUAAAGCUCAUGUAUCUUUAGUGAUUAUGGUGGUAGGGAAGAUGCUGUCCUUUGCAUUCCAUGGCUACUAACUUAUUUAACCUAAUUCCUCCUCAGUGGAUAAAAAGUCUAUGCACAGAGAAGUUGUGUAAUUUUCCCAAGGUCAUAGAGAGUGAACCAGGCUUCAAACUCAUACUUCACAGUUGUGGAAUUUUCCAUGAACUAGAAACAAUACGCUGUCUCCAGCUUGUCUUCAAGUAGAAAAUGGGACAGGAACAUGUAGGCAAAAUGAUGCAGAAUUGUCUUUGAUGUGGAUGGCUUAGACCCAGAGUGCGUUCAGAGCAUGGAACAGGAAGGAUUUGGGGCUGGAAGCUUUGUCUGUAAGGAACAGAAAAACCAACAGAAAGUACUUAUGAAUAGGUACUUAUUUCCCACAGCAGAACCAGGGUCUCACUAUGUAGCCCUGGCUGACCUGGAACUCACUAUGUAGACCAGGGUAGCCUCAAACUCAUGAGGACCCACCAGUCCCUGUCAUGUGUUAACUAUGGUACCCUUAACAAACAAGAUGGCCACAGGUCUUCCAGGUAUCAUGUGUCAAGAUGUAACUAGUGAGAGAUUUUGCCUAAAGACAUGUGACAGAUUAUACUGGUCAAUGAGACAAAACUCAGGAUUCAUAUUUAUGACUUAGCUUUAGGGCACUCAAAACAAGAUCUAUAAGACAAAACCACCGGUAUGCCUCUAACCUGCAAGCUUCGUUUGCCUAAGGACAGAUAACUUCCUGGGAUGCUGGAGGCUGUUCCUGUACGAUAACAACCUAGUGUUUUCACUUCUCUGAACAAGCUUGGUUGCACCAACCACACAGGCUGUGUGCUUGAUCUCAUGUAGGCAGGAAGUAUGUCAGGAUGUGUGCUAGGCUCUGAUUGGACAAAGGUAGAAUGUACACAGCCUCGUGGCUUUUGAUUUUAUAAGCCCCUGGCUGAUGUACUGUGGCACCAUACUCUGAAAAUUCCAGGUAUGGACCUGGCUUUACCCAUGGUCUUGGCCAGCAUUUAUUUAAUAAAGCUUGCUUCAG
rnacentral:lncRNA from 1 species